rnacentral:rRNA from 1 species
AGAGUUUGAUCAUGGCUCAGGAUAAACGCUGGCGGCGUGCCUAACACAUGCAAGUCGAACGCCCUGAAGAGAUUCAGGGAGUGGCGGACGGGUGAGGAACGCGUGGGAACCUACCUCUGGGUGAGGGAUACCGGCGAGAAAUUGCCGACAAUACCGCAUAGGCCUGGGAGACCAGGGAAAGUCGAAAGACGCCGAGAGAU